rnacentral:rRNA from 1 species
UACGUAGGGGGCGAGCGUUGUCCGGAAUGACUGGGCGUAAAGGGUGCGUAGGCGGCCCGAGAGGUCCUGGGUGAAAGGCCCCGGCUCAACCGGGGAGGGCCCCAGGAAACCGGCGGGCUAGAGGGCUGGAGAGGGCCGCGGAAUUCCCGGUGUAGUGGUGAAAUGCGUAGAUAUCGGGAGGAACACCAGUGGCGAAGGCGACUUCCUGGCCUGUUCUUGACGCUGAGGCGCGAAAGCUAGGGUAGCAAACGGG